rnacentral:lncRNA from 1 species
UCCAUGGGCGCUUUUUUCCUUCUCCAUGUUCUCCGGGCUCUUUUCUUUUCCCGGGCACUUUUUCAAUUUCCCGGGUGCUUUUUCUUUUCCCGGGGAUUUUUUCUUCACCCGGGAGUUUUUUUAGUAGGACCCAAAUAAACAGUUCAAAAUUCAUCACAUUUAAAUCAAUAUUUAAUCGUCCAAGGCGUUUCAGGAAUAUCUUAAAAAAACUAAAACUGAUAAUCAUACAACUAAUUUUGACCCUGAAUAUCCAAUCAACUAAAGUCGAAUGGUAUGUGGCUGAACAUAUUUUAUGAUUAGAACAUCUUACUACUGUUGCCUUUAUUUACUGUAUUAUGUCAUACUAUAGAAUUUUUCACAGGUUUGAUGUUAAACUAUGUCAUUUGGAUAUUAUCAUCAUUCAUUCUAAUGCGACUGUCAGAUAAUGCUAUACAUAGUUUUUCAUAGAAGAUUUACUCAGAAUUAUACGGAGCGUCGGGAUCAGAUGGCCACACAAUACAGACAACUGUAUACCAAAUUUCCUUCAAUGCUUUUGGAAGUUUGUCUUUUUUAAUGUCAUCCUUCAGUAUUACAACAACCAUUGAUUCACGACCCUCUCGGAAAGCAUGCAUUCUUGUCAUUUCUAUUUCAUACGUUCCCCAGCUACUUUCCAGAAAAUCCUAAGUGAUAACAAAUACAAUGUUUCUACUUGAAUUUAUUGCUUCUACGAUGCAAUCGGCAAUAGGCUUCCCUACUUUAUAAUCCUUGUGGUAAAAACAGAGGCUGAAGCCUUUUGACUGCAAAUUGUCGUAGAGAGUUUUAACCCAUGAUAUGUCUUUGUGACUGUAUGAGAAAA